UUCCUCCACUGUUUUGGGAAACGUCACCUUCUUAUCUUGGAAGAGUAAUCUCAAAAUUGAAGCAUCUUAGAUCCAACAAGAAUUAAAAGGAUGGGAAGUCCUUGCAGCCAUCCAAUAGAGUCAGAAGACUUUGGAUUUUGGAGUCUGUGAGAUGAUGGAAUUCAUGUCCUGCUUUGGUUUAAUCCUAAGUACCUAGUCCUGGUGAGAGUGAUAAGAAGAGCCAGGGGCUGUUAUGGUCCUUAUGCCUCUGAAAUGUUGUAGACUUUCCUUAUGGUACUUGUGCUAUUCUUUGUGAGUUGUAUGACCUUGGUUAAGCUACUUAACCUCGAAUCUCAGUUUCCUAGUUGUAAACUGAGGCUAAUAUCUACCUUUAUAAGUCAU
rnacentral:lncRNA from 10 species